GCACUGGCAGAACGUUUUACCGUUGUGGUUCUUUGCUGCUUCUGGAAAGAAAGCGACAUGACAGAAGUAGACAGUGU
rnacentral:ncRNA from 1 species